rnacentral:rRNA from 1 species
UACGAAGGGGGCUAGCGUUGUUCGGAAUUACUGGGCGUAAAGCGCACGUAGGCGGAUUGUUAAGUUAGGGGUGAAAUCCCAGGGCUCAACCCUGGAACUGCCUUUAAUACUGGCAAUCUCGAGUCCGAGAGAGGUGAGUGGAAUUCCGAGUGUAGAGGUGAAAUUCGUAGAUAUUCGGAGGAACACCAGUGGCGAAGGCGGCUCACUGGCUCGGUACUGACGC